AACGCACGAGACCUGCGGACCUGCGGAAGGAUCAUUACAGAGUUGCAAAACUCCCUAACCCUUGUGAACAUACCUGUACGUCGUUGCUUCGGCGGGUAGCCCCUUUACGGGGCCUCGACCUCCCAGCGAGGUUGCCCGCCGGAGGACCACACAAAACUCUUGAAUUAAUGGCUUCUCUGAGUAUUAAUCAAAUAAGUUAAAACUUUUAACAACGGAUCUCU
rnacentral:misc_RNA from 1 species